GAUAAACGCUGGCGGCGUGCAUGAGACAUGCAAGUCGAACGGACGGACCGGUUCGCCGGUCCGUUAGUGGCGGACGGCUGAGUAACGCGUAGGUGACCUGCCCCGAAGUGGGGAAUAACUGCCCGAAAGGGUGGCUAAUACCGCAUGUGGUCGUACGUUCACUCGUACGAGUAAAGCCGCAAGGCGCUUCGGGAGGGGCCUGCGUCCGAUUAGCUCGUUGGUGGGGUAAUGGCUCACCAAGGCGACGAUCGGUAGGUGGUCUGAGAGGACGAUCACCCAAACUGGGACUGAGACACGGCCCAGACUCCUACGGGAGGCAGCAGUCGGGAAUUUUGCUCAAUGGGCGCAAGCCUGAAGCAGCAACGCCGCGUGAGGGAUGAAGGCCUUCGGGUCGUAAACCUCUUUUGCCGAGGACGAUGAUGACGGUACUCGGUGAAUAAGCCACGGCUAACUACGUGCCAGCAGCCGCCGUAAUAC
rnacentral:rRNA from 1 species